GUGCGCGUGGCCCAACGGCAGAGGCAGUCGGCUUAAACCCGAUACGGUGCGGGUUCGAAUCCCGCCGCGCACA
rnacentral:tRNA from 1 species